GACGAACGCUGGCGGCGUGCCUAAUACAUGCAAGUUGAGCGCUGAAGGUUGGUACUUGUACCAACUGGAUGAGCAGCGAACGGGUGAGUAACGCGUGGGGAAUCUGCCUUUGAGCGGGGGACAACAUUUGGAGACGAAUGCUAAUACCGCAUAAAAACUUUAAACACAAGUUUUAAGUUUGAAAGAUGCAAUUGCAUCACUCAAAGAUGAUCCCGCGUUGUAUUAGCUAGUUGGUGAGGUAAAGGCUCACCAAGGCGAUGAUACAUAGCCGACCUGGGAGGGUGAUAGGCCACAGUGGGCCUGAGACACGGCCCAAACUCCUACGGGAGGCAGCAGUAGGGAAUCUUCGGCAAUGGACGAAAGUCUGACCGAGAAACGCCGCGUGAGUGAAGAAGGUUUUCGGAUCGUAAAACUCUGUUGGUAGAGAAGAACGUUGGUGAGAGUGGAAAGCUCAUCAAGUGACGGUAACUACCCAGAAAGGGACGGCUAACUACGUG
rnacentral:rRNA from 1 species